CAUCUCCUUAAUCGGAGAGUUCCCUUUGGGGACAUUGGUGACAGGUGGUGCAUGGUUGUCGUCAGCUCGUGUCGUGAGAUGUUGGGUUAAGUCCCGCAACGAGCGUAACCCUUGUCUUUAGUUGCCAUCAUUAAGUUGGGCACUCUAGAGAGACUGCCAGGGAUAACCUGGAGGAAGGUGGGGAUGACGUCAAAUCAUCAUGCCCCUUAUG
rnacentral:rRNA from 1 species